UACGUAGGGUGCGAGCGUUGUCCGGAAUUAUUGGGCGUAAAGGGCUCGUAGGCGGUUUGUCGCGUCGGGAGUGAAAACACCGGGCUUAACUCGGUGCUGGCUUCCGAUACGGGCAGACUAGAGGUAUUCAGGGGAGAACGGAAUUCUUGGUGUAGCGGUGAAAUGCGCAGAUAUCAGGAGGAACACCGGUGGCGAAGGCGGUUCUCUGGGAAUUACCUGACGCUGAGGAGCGAAAGUGUGGGGAG
rnacentral:rRNA from 1 species